rnacentral:lncRNA from 1 species
CGGUCUUCAGUUUCUCAUCUCACACCGUGCGCUCUCUCUCUCUUUCUCUCCUCUUUUUCUCUCUUUAGAUUCUUUGGGUAUAGAUCUCUCUAUUCCACUUCGUUUUCUCCCUAAGUUUGGAAUUAAAGAUGCAUAUUAUGGGCUGUUGAUUUUGUUCCUGGGUUUCUUUUGGUAUUCGAGAGGUCUGGUUGAUUUGAACCCAAGACGAAGUUGCUUCCACUAUAACUCUUCACAACAAAGCAAGACUGGAGAAGAUGACCAUUUGUGAUUGGCUAUUUGCCGCGUCUAUCAGGUGUUGGGGUGUACUUUGCUUUGUCAAACACGUGGUAUGCAAUUCUUGAAUCUUCCCUUGUGUCUGUUGUUCCCUCUUUGUUUUUCCUUUUAGGUUUGGAAUUAAAGCUAUGUAAUUUGGGUUGAGUUCAUUCUCAUAGGAUUGGAGUCAGUGCUGGAUAUGUAUCUUCAAAGAGCGACGAGUGUAGGUCUGGUAAAACGUGGCUGCCAACGAAGUUGGACUCACUGUUUGUCUGCUCAUCCUCUUCCUCACUCUGUUUUGCGCAGUUCGAUUUUCUUUUUAUGGCUGCUGGGUGAUUUAUUUCUCUUACUCAUGUUGUUCCCCGUGUUGGCGCUGCUGAAACGUAAAAUUACGAGUUCUGUUGAGAAGGAGACUUGCUUUUGUUGGAAUGUCAUGUUCGUUUGGUGUGUGCUACUCUGAUGACAAGUUUGACUUGGUUCUUUCAGUUAGCUUUCUGUUUCAUCUUGAUAAAUCUUAUGGCUCUAAUUGGCUUAUUAACUGACAUAUAACGAACUAUAUAUAUGAAUUAAGUUGUUAGUUAAAGAUGACAUUGGAUUCAUGGCAAUUCGAUACUAUAAAUGAAUUCAGGAUGAGGUGCAUUUUUUUGGUUUUAAUAUUUAAAAAGCGAUAACCAAUUGCGUGACAUAUUUUUAUUGGGUUCUCUGGAGUUUUAUUUGGAUUAAGGUUUAGGAAAUUGGAUGAACGAAGAGAAGUAAAGAGAAGAAAGACAGGCACAUCGAAAAAGAGGAAGAGACUCUAUGUCGCGGAAUUGUUAGAGAUGGAUGCUGACUUAAAGGGGGUGGCGGGAAAUGAAUUGGGAGUUGGUGAGGUUGGAAAGAUUUGAGACUCUGGCUGCUGAAAUUUUGAAGAGGUCGAGUUGUCUUUGUGUGUGUAGGCUACGAUAAUUUAUUUUAUUUAAUUUCGGUUAGCGUUGGGAUAUAUGUUACCUGGAGGAAGAUUAUUAUCACAUGACAGAUUGGUUAGGUCAUUGCGAAGAAAGAAAUUUAACUUUUAGAAUACAGAAGAUUGGUAUGGUCGUGUAACUGCAUUAGAUGACAUGAUCGUAGCAGCAGAUUUAUCAGCUCCUAAUAUGCUUAUAUGUGCUUACAAAAUUAACAAUGAGACCGAAAAAGAAGAAUAGUUUGCAAGGAGAUGCUUGUAUGUGCCCCUAUGAUUACUUUGUAUUCGUCGAUUACAGACAAGCUGAAUAUUGAUGUUGUUGCAUUUUCUCUUGCUUCCAUUGUUUUCACACAUUGGAGAACUUCAAUUAAGUUGUCGAUAACACCAGCAGACAUAAUGAGGAUCUUGUUAUUCUCAUGUAUUGAAAGGUUGAGAAAUGUUGUGACUGCAUUCUCCCGGAUUCUUGUAUCACGGGAACCAAGCAGAGUCACCGGAAAUGGAAUAGCUCUAGACUCAGCUAUGAUUCUGCGAUUGUCCAUUCCAGUUUUCGCGAGCAAUCUUAGCUCAUAUGUUGCAUGUCUCUGUAUAUCUGGAGAUCAUGUUGCCAGUUUUCUAACUAAAAACUCUGUUGUCAUUUUCACAGCAUAUGUGGCAGCUUUAGUACCAGAAAUGUAGUCAAUCGCCUUGUCACAUUUCUUAAUCUUACUGCUG